GAGGACUGAUUGAGGUCAUUUAUAUCAGACUCAAUGGUGUUUCAGAUACUCACGGUGUGUCAGAUACAGAAAAGCAGCACCAAGUUAUAACUGUGAAAACUCCUCCAUGUUUCACAGAAGUGUGGGACACAUGAUGAUACCAAACAGCAGACUGGCUACCUUUCUCCAUUUAAAGAGGCUGAAUGACUGACUACGUGAUUUCAGGCAUGUGUGAUACCAAUUAAAGAAAACAAGCAUGUGUCCAUGAAAAAACACUGAACAAAGAGAAGGUAUGGAAAAUUGAACAGCUGACAAGAGACUGUCUUCAGAGGAGGUAAUUGUCAUUUAGUGCUCUUUGUUUAUGGUUGCUGCCGAGGCCGGAUUAAGACUUCAAUGGCUCCUGGGUGUCAAAGAUCAAAAGGCCCCUGUUCAUCUGCCCUCACUACCCCAUUAGCACAGAGGUAUAUCAAAUGUACAAUCUCAUGACCUACGAGACACCUGCUUGGAUCGUGCCCCGCCUAUGUCAGCUAACCAGGAGUAAUAAUUUUUUAAGAGCUUUUAGUUCAGGUAUGAUUGGACAAGUUUAUAACCAUGAGGACUGAAGUGGAG